GAGGGUAGGUGUGCACUUGCACUACAAACAUCCACUGUGUAGAAACAAAUAAAGGGUCGUUAUUCAUUGGCUUCGCACUCUGCCCUGCUUUAACCAGAACCAAACUAUCUCAUCUCAGACCCCCCAUCACAUACGAUAUUGUUCUUCCCAUAUAAAACCCAAUGUGACAGUAGCUAACACAAGACGAGAACACUCGUUUUCUCAGCCGGCACCAAAUUUCCAGAACAAGGUAAUGAAGAAACUAGUGUUUAUGAGUUUGAAAACCACUCACCCACCUACCAACCAACCAACAAAACCCGACCCCUUUUUCUCUCUCUCUCUCUUUUUUUUGUUUUUUUGUUUUUUUUUUGUUUUUUUAUCUUCUGCUACAAUUUCAGAGAUUUUGACCCCACCCUUCUCAUUUAACCCCCACAUACAUACAUCUUCUUAGAUUUCUCCUUUCCUUCUUUUUUUUUUCCCUAAUAUAAAAAAAGAUUCAUUUUUCUAUAUGUUUAAUGUGUGUAAAGACUGAGUUUUUAGCAAUCAAAGGAGACAUCUUUAUACAUAUAUAAUUUUGUUAUUAUCAUUGUCAUUGUGGCUACCACAACAAGGCAACAGCCAUCAGACGCUGGAGCCACUGCUGAUUGGGCAACAUCGUCGUCCAAAACUAUCUUAGCUGCCCCCGAUAACCUUUCCCUUGGCUUCAACGCUAACGCUGCCGCCUUGGCUGCUGUUGCUCCCUCUGGAUCCACCAACGCCCAAUGGCAACCCUCUUCUCGUCCACUCAACUACGGCUUUCCACCUGAUAUGGGGAUGGUUGGUCUCCGAGAUUUCGUCCUUGUUACUCCUGCGUCAUUUAACCAUCACCAUCGCCACCAUCAUACUCAAGAUUCCAUCAUGGCAAACGAUCAAAUCAACGGUCCGAAUGAUCCCACGGCACUUGGUGUUGGUGUUAUCCCACUUCUUACAGCAGCUCCAUGUUUAGCUCCACAUCACGCGGAAGACACUGAUUUGUUGAAUAACAAUGAUCGCAGCAAAUUCACCGGGAUGCGGUUAUGGCAGAAGCCAAAUUCUUCUCAUUAUCUUAUAAAAUCGUCUUCAAACCCUAAUAACCAUAAUUCCUCUUCCAUGAAUUUGAUACAAAGCAGCGGUGGUAUCGGUGGGACGGGGAGCGGGAGUGGUGGUUCGGGUUUAAGCUCAGGGGCCACGUGUCAAGACUGUGGGAACCAAGCUAAGAAAGAUUGUAGCUAUAGGAGAUGUAGAACAUGUUGUAAAAGUCGAAGUUUUGAUUGCCCUACUCACGUGAAGAGCACGUGGGUGCCAGCUGCUAGAAGGAGAGAUCGUCAGCUCAUGACGGUUGGAGCUACUGCUGCUGGUGCUGGUUUGUCAGGCUCGACUGCAGGGCCUAAGAAGCCAAGACUUAGAACAUCACAGACUACAACCGCUUCUCAUACAUCGACUUCCAACGCUACAACUCCUCCUAGAAGCUUGGACACUUGCUCAAGUCCCCAGAAUGCGGAGUUUAAAGAGCCACUGCCGGCGCAAGUUCGUGCAACGGCGGUAUUUAAGUGUGUAAGAGUGACGACAAUCGAGGAGGGGGAGGAUGAGUUUGCAUAUGAAGCAGUUGUUAAGAUUGGUGGACAUGUGUUCAAAGGGUUGCUCUAUGAUCAAGGAGUUGAUGGGUUUCCUAAUAUAUCCCAACUGCAUUUAAGUGGGAGAAAUGGGGAGUCAUCCUCAUCUCCCGUUCUCGAUCCUUCUCAAGUUUAUGAAGCGACCACUGGAGGCGGCUUGCUUCGUGGUUCGAAUUAUGGUUGUACAAGGAACUGAUAUCAUCUUUCAGGGUUAAAAAUAGGCUCGGGGGGAUCCAGUAUAGUGAAAUUCGGUUUUUUUGCUGCCUAAUAAGUCUUCAUAGGGUUUUGUUGCUGAAAGAGGGUGAUGAUCAUCAUUUGUCAGCGAGCGUACAUUUCCCUACACUAUCCAGAUAUGUUUUGUACUGAUUUAUAAAUCAUAUCCUGCACUAGCACUGAGGACAAUAUUUGUUCCUUGAAAACUUUGCUUUCUUAAAGUAGGUGCUUUUAUUUCCUUCCCUUACUCCGUUGUUCAUUUGAGUUGUGCAAAGGUGAAAAUCUACAGUGUAAGUGCUUUUCGCCAUCUAACGACAAUGACAUUGUGUUAUGAACCUUUUAUGUGUA